rnacentral:sRNA from 1 species
AGGGAGGAAGCACACGCCCCAAAGCACAGAAGCUUCACUUCCUGGUAGACCCGGGGCUCCAAUCAGACCUCCACCACAUCUUCCCAGGAAAAGUCAAUUCUGUGGCAACGUGGGGGCAGACGUUGACUGCCCCAUCAUAGCCUUCGUCCUCAAAGAUGCCAUUAAAACGUGAUGUAGGUUUGGAGAUUUGAGGGCAGAACCUGACGUGCACGUGACAUGCACAAAGCCACGCCCUCUCUCCCCUGGUAGGUACUUGUUGAUCUGAGAGGAGGUCGCCACAGCCUCGAAGUCUGCCCGCAGCGCAGGCAUGGGGCAACAGUGCUCGCUGCUCAGGCUCCCGAGGCUCAUCUGGAGUUCAAGAUUUCUGCACCCAUGACGUUCUGCUGUACAGAAAUGGAGACACAAGAGAGCUAGAGUAAAACUCCAGAGGCAGAGGUAGAAUUUAAAGACCAGGAAGAAAAAGUUAAAAGGCCCAAAGAAUAUGUGUUAACAACAGCGAUAAACAGUCACAGAUACUGGCUGUCGGACUAAAAGCAACAGGAGCAGGAAGAUGGCGGAGUGAUUUCCUCCUAAAGCCCGGACGCGUUGCUACCACUUUGGAACAGUGCGUUUGCACGCAUUGGUUUAUGAUAGAGAUUCUGAUGCAGUAAUGGGAAGCGGAGGAGGAUCCAGAGGAGGGGGGCAGCGUGGACGUAAGGAACUCAUUUCGUGUGGAUGAGCAGGCCCUGAGUUCCAUCCUCAACACCGAGGAAGGAAAUUCAGAUCAAGUAAAAAGAAAAUCAGUCAAAUCAAAUCACACGGAGGUUUGCUCUCUGAACGCAGGUUUUGUUUUGUUUAUUUUACUCUCACGACAUCUUCUGUGCAAGUGACAAGGGGAUUUAAAAACACCGUUGCAUUCUUUUAUUUCGUGUGCGUGCAGGCAUGUGCCUGCCGUGGUGUAUGCGUGGAGGUCAGAGGACAACGUGCGGAUGUUGGCUCUCUCCUUCCACUGUCUGUGUCUUGAGGAUUGAACUCAGGUUGUCCUGUGUGGCAGCAGAUCCCUGUAUCAGCUGCGCCAUCUCACCAACUCCUAAUAAAGGCUUUUGUAUUCUUCUUCUCAUA